rnacentral:lncRNA from 1 species
ACAAAUGCUAUAGGAUAGUGAAGUAAUUCAUCACCUAUAUUUAAAGUUGGAUUUACUGAUAUUUUAUGGUAUUAGAUAUUAUUUCUAUUAACAUUUUAUGCUGAAAUUACAGAAUGAUUCGUGAGUACUGAAUUUUUGAUUGCUUUUACACUUGCUGGGACACUAUUAAACUUGAUUUACGUUAAUAGCACUGUAAGAAGAUAUUAACAAUGAAAUUUCCAAAAGCACUUAGCAUCUCAUAAUUGGAGUUAAAUGACAAAAAAAAUGAGGAGAUAAUAAAGUAAAGAGAGAAAAGGAGAGAGAAAGUUUUGACAAUAUCCUUUUUAACCUGUGGUUCUUAAUAAGAUUUUUGCAAGGAUUGUUUUAGGUUAGGAAAGAAUCAAAUCUCCGAUCAGGAGAGAUGAUGCUGAUUUAUUAAAGGGGUUUUAUAAUAUGGAAUAAAGACUGAGCUCCAGGUGGAAAGUACAAAAUCUACUGCUUCUAGGAGAGAAAAUUUUCUGACUUCCAGACUAAGGAGGAAACUUUAAUUGCUGCCCUUCCUUCCAUGGUGGCUAGAAGAUAUUCUAACAUUUUUCUUUUAAAUGAAAAUAAUCAAUUUAGGCAUGAUACUGGGUUACAGAGAGGUAGGCAUCACAAGACACCAAAGCUAAAAC